rnacentral:lncRNA from 1 species
AGGGGAAGCCCCAGUAGAGGGAGGAGGAGCCUGGAGAUGCUGCUGGGAAGGACUGGACCAGACUUCCAUCCCUCUAACCUCUGCCCAGCCCAAGCAGCAGCCUGCAAUGAAUGUUUGUGCUGAGGACCGAGACCAGCUGUGUCAAUGUUAACUGCUGGUUCCAGGAUACUCUUUCCCAGGUGGAUGAGGGUGAAAACAAUAAAGAAUGUCACUCAUUGCUUCAGGGAAUUCCUGAAAACCAAUUAUCCAGAGCAGGUGAUGCUGGCUGUCUGUCCUGGGGACACGGACACUGAGGGUGGCUGAGUCAGCUCAUAGGAGGCCACGGAUCCUACAGGAGAGAAAACGGGAGAGAAAAGGCUUGAAACUGAGGAGCUGAACUCCAAGUAAAUCUUCCCACGUGCCUGGCCUGGACACAGAUCCAGGGAUGAAAGAGCCCUAAGGCAGUGUGAGCACAUGAGCACUGUGUGGGGGGAUUUCAGCCCCGCCGAGCCCAUCCACCUGCAGCAGGGUCAUGAGCAUCCUGCCCACCACAGGCGGGGGCCCUGCUGAGCUCAGAGUCAGGGCCAGGCUGGACCCAGAGCCCUGGGACUGGACCAGUGGCUAGGACCCUAGGGGCAGCACCUGUGCAGUAAGCAAGGACGCCGAGGAAGAGAGGGAUCCAUGCCAUGGCUGAGGCACCUCCGAUGCUGCUUCCUGAGGCCCAGGCUGGGCAGGUUCUUCCAGGCCUCUCUUAUCCCCUUGCUGGAAAGAGCGGCCCGUGAUGCAAAUCAGCAGUCAGGGGCUGCUGCAGGAGGAGCUGUGUGGUUUCCAGAGAAGGGCUCAGCCCCAAGGGACAGAGAGAGAGGGGGCCCCUAAAGACCCACCCUCAGCACACAGAAUUCUCAUUCUCCUUCUGGUCCCAUCAUCUGGGUUGACAUCGUCACUGUAGGUUGUGUUAUGGCCUCACUCCUGAGCUGAUCUGGCCAUGCAGAACUCUGAGAGGAAUUCUUUGUGCGUUUUCCAGGUAGUAUGAUGUCCUGCCCAUGUGGCCAUUCCUUGUCCUGCGUGGAGAUGGCCAGGGACUGACUUACAAUGGCGACUGAGGGAUUAUUCUGAGAUCUAAGGUACUUCCUCUGUUGAAUACUGGCUCAGAAUAACUUGGGUAAUUGAGGACUCCAGGGGUGUCCUGUCCCUAAAUAUUUUGUGGCAAAAUCCAGAAGUUAGGUGUGGUUCUAGCUCCCCCUCUGGAGGGCACUUUUCAACCCAGUGCAGUGACCCUCAUGACCCCACUCUACAGGUGACACCGUAAGGCUGGCACACAUGCAGGGACCUGCCAUUGCUUCUGAGUGGUGCUUUCCACAAUCAAACUUCACCCUUGUCAUGUGCACACGGAGUGUUGAAAGACUCAGGAGAUGCUGUAAGUUCCUGGCCUUGGCUGUGAGCUCCUAGGGUAGGGCACAGGUGCUGUGCCUAUGUACCCCCAGUAUGUGGUCAUGGUCAGGUACAGCUUAGAUGCUGAAAGAAAACUUUGCUGUGUAGCAGAAUGAGGGGGCUCUCAGAGCAAACAGGAGGGUGAUGAAACACAUGUGCCCACAGGGGAGGAUGGCGUUUGUGGCAAUGACAGCGUUUUAGCACAGAAGAGUGGGCCAGUGUGUAGGGGGAAGCAAAGUGUCUGCACCUGUGUCAAAUAUGCAACAUUGGCCAGAGACAAAGCUGAGAAACACAAAGCCUGGAGAAUUUGUACUCGAUGUUAAGGAUGAUGCUGUAGAAAAACGACACCUUUCUAGAUCUCAGGUUGUGGUCACUGACCCUCCCUGCAUGUCAGCAUCUCCUUGUCACCCAGGUCUACCCUACCUCCAAGUGACUUUGCCAGGUGACUCUGUUCUGUCCCCUGGUGGCUGCUCCAUACUGGCUGCUGGAGGCUCAAGGGCCUCCUGGAUCCGGGUGUAUAAUUAAAAUCUUCUGUUCAGGUCCCUGAUUCCCUGGUCUGCAGACUGCUGGUGCCAAUGGAGGAAAUUUUUCUCUUCUCUUUGUGACUCAUGCCUGCCUCAAUACCAGGUGCGAGGGGUGCAGAUUACUCAUGACAAUAUGAACAUGAAUAUUUGGAAGAGGAGGAGGAAGGUCCAUCUGAGGCUGCCUGCACAUGUGUCUGGGCGGUGGGUGGUCAUGGGGGUAAUACCAGGGCUUGGCAUGCAGGGCGGGGAUCACAGGACUCAGGGACUGGCUCUUACUGGUCCCCGCUGUGGAUGCAGGACCAGCGUACAGUGGUGACUCCUGCACCAAAGUCAGAGACAGAAGAACAUCCACCCAUCAAAUGUUAAUCCAGACCCACUGUGGUCUGGGACACGUUCCAUGCGGUGAAUUCAGCAGGAACAAGACACAGCCUUCUUGAAAUACAGGACCUAGGAACACAAAAUCUGCAAACUGCACUUAACACAAAAGGGAAGGGGCUGAGAUGGGGAGGAACAAUUCCAAGGUCACUUGGCAAGGAGAGAGAAAAGGAAGACGAGAAAUGCUCUGGACCUGUAACAGUAAGUCUUCUGAGUGUCCUGGGACCAGCCUGCCAGGGAGGGCAUGGGAAAAUCCUCAGCCCAAAUUCUCAGCCCAAAUCCCUCCCUAUGGAGACGGCAUCUCAGUCAGCUCUUUUAGCUGCCUGUAGGGGGCGCGCCUGCCACACUCUGGGUUGAAAGGGAGAGAAAAGACGGUUGAUUCCCAGCUCAGGAACCAAGCUGUCUAGAGACAUUUUCUUUUCUUUUUUUUUUUUAAUUUAUUAUUAUUAUACUUUAAGUUUUAGGGUACAUGUGCACAAUGUGCAGGUUAGUUACAUAUGUAUACAUGUGCCAUGCUGGUGCGCUGCACCCACUAACUCGUCAUCUAGCAUUAGAUAUAUCUCCCAAUGCUAUCCCUCGCCCCUCCCCCCACCCCACAACAGUCC